rnacentral:lncRNA from 1 species
CCCCCCAAGUUUGUGUGAUUGUCGCGGAGCACUUUCAGAUUCUCCAGCUCAGCAGUGGCACCAACAUCUGCGGGAGAAAGGCGCCCUGCUGUCAUUGUGAGUCGAGGUUCCAAGGCAGAGAGCGGAGGGAGGAAGAGCAGUUUAUGGGUCUGAGAAGAAAGGCUGCAUGGGAUGGGGUGGAGGAGAGAGGCUGUGUGCGCGAGGCCUGGGAAGGAUGGUGGGGAAGGGGCACAGGCCUAGGUCGAGGGACCCCACAGCAGAGCCCCCAGAACUGCAGCCUCCUCGAGGCAUCUCCUUGCAGUCACCUCUAACUGCACUGUGACAAGCCCAGCACGGAAUUCUUACAGUAACAGAGUGUUUUGGGGAACAGGCUAUGGACAAUUUGCUGGAGCAGCUCUCCCAGGCUCAGGCGUCCUGGAGACAGCCACCUAGAGAGCCAGGGACCAGGGUUCCACCUCCGCCCGUGACCUUGACUCCAGAAAACAGGCUCUGAGAUCACAGAACCAGCUGGAGUCCCUGCCCUCCAGUGGUAAAUCAUCACGGUCAAAAUAACAACUAAAAUGCAUGGAAUGAGCUCAAGAAGCUACAAAACCCAGGGAGCCAGCAGGUGGCGCCCGGCGACCGUAAUGGCCCCGCGCAGCUGGCAUUUCUGGUGCCUGCACCUGGGUCCCCUGGAGCCGCCUAGGGAGCAUAGGCUCCCCAGCCCAGGGCCCUAGUGGCAGCGCCCUCCCGGCUCUGACCAGCACUUUGUUUCUUGGUGCCUCAGUUUCAUCAUCUCCACAGUGGGGAGACUGACAUUCAUUCAUUGUCACGGGUGGAUGGGGUAAAAGUGUUAAUGUCUGUGCCGUUGUCAUAUAGGUCAGCGUUAGUUUUAGUCACCAGUUUUUGCUUUUUAAUUUUAUCCAUAGUUACUAUAUUGCACACGUUAUAUUUUUAUUAAUUAAUGUUAUGUUAUUAUGUUAGUUGGUCUCUUUCCAAGGAGUCUUAAUUUUAGUUUUCCUGGACCCUUGCUGUUCCCUCACUCCCUGUCACACAUUACUCAAAGUCCACAUAAUUUUAUGGAAUAAAUUUUAUGGUAUAAAUG